rnacentral:rRNA from 1 species
AGUGAACGCUGGCGGCGUGCUUAACACAUGCAAGUCGUGCGAGAAAGUUCCUUCGGGAACCGGUAAAGCGGCGCACGGGUGAGUAACACGUAGGUAACCUGCCCCUUAGUCUGGAACAACUAGAGGAAACUCUAGCUAAUGCCGGAUGAGACCACGGUCCCUUCGGGGGCCGCGGCCAAAGAUGGCCUCUGCUUGCAAGCUAUCGCUGAGGGAUGGGCCUGCGGGCCAUUAGCUAGUUGGUGAGGUAACGGCUCACCAAGGCAAUGAUGGCUAGCUGGUCUGAGAGGAUGACCAGCCACACUGGGACUGAGACACGGCCCAGACUCCUACGGGAGGGAGCAGUGGGGAAUAUUGCGCAAGGGGCGAAAGCCUGACGCAGCGACGCCGCGUGGGUGAUGAAGGCCUUCGGGUCGUAAAGCCCUGUCGCAGGGGAAGAAUAAGCGGUGGGAUAAUACCCCGCCGCCCUGACGGUACCCUGCAAGAAAGCACCGGCUAACUCCGUGCCAGCAGCCGCAGUAAAAC